CUACGGAAGGCAGCAGUAAGGAAUAUUGGACAAUGGGGGAAACCCUGAUCCAGCAAUGCCGCGUGUGUGAAGAAGGCCUGCGGGUUGUAAAGCACUUUUGGCAGGGAUGAAAAGCACUGGAUUAAUAACCCAGUGUGUUGACCUAACCUGCAGAAGAAGCACCGGCUAACUCUGUGCCAGCAGCCGCGGUAAUACAGAGGGUGCAAGCGUUAAUCGGAAUUACUGGGCGUAAAGCGCGCGUAGGCGGUCGAGUAAGUCGGAUGUGAAAUCCCCGGGCUUAACCUGGGAAUUGCAUUCGAUACUGCUUGGCUAGAGUGUGGAAGAGGGAAGCGGAAUUUCCGGUGUAGCGGUGAAAUGCGUAGAUAUCGGAAGGAACACCAGUGGCGAAGGCGGCUUCCUGGUCCAACACUGACGCUGAGGCGCGAAAGCGUGGGGAGCGAACAGGAUUAGAUACCCCGGUAGUCCC
rnacentral:rRNA from 1 species